rnacentral:miRNA from 1 species
UUUAGGAUAAGCUCGACUUUUG